AGAAUCAACGCUGGCGGCGUGCCUAACACAUGCAAGUCGAACGAGAAAGUGGAGCAAUCCAUGAGUAAAGUGGCGCACGGGUGAGUAACACGUGACUAACCUACCCUUGAGUGGGGAAUAAACUUCGGGAAACCGAGGCUAAUACCGCAUAACACCUACGGGUCAAAGGAGCAAUUCGCUUAAGGAGGGGUCGCGGCAGAUUAGUUAGUUGGCGGGGUAAUGGCCCACCAAGACAGUGAUCUGUA
rnacentral:rRNA from 1 species